AAGCACUGCUGUCCACAGCUCUCACGAGGACGCUGAUGUUCAGCCGUACAAAUGCAUCAACACGCUGACUGAAAACAAGCAGGUAAGAUAACUUGUGUUUGUCUUUCAAAACAGGUUUCAAUUUGUUUUCAGAUGAGGAAUUUGCAUUUAAACGUGUGAUUUGGUUGUGACCUGUAAAACAUUAUCAGCCGAGAUUCGAUAAAAACAGCAAGACACAAGGAGCCGCAGCAGAAACUAGAAUGACGAGAAUCACAGAAACAACAAUUCAUGCAGACCUAUUCAUAAAUCUGUUUCUGGAGCUACAUAACAGUGUUAAUCACCAUUUUACUUCAAUGUUAUCUUGUUAUAAAAUAAAAAAACGUUUCAAGCUGGCCUAAACUGGUUUGCUUGUCAAUCAUCCUGGUUCUAAAUCAGACUGAUUGACAGGCAAACCAGCUUAGGCUUGUUUGAAAUGCAUACCAUUGCAUUCACUGCGUAGGCCACUUGUUAUAUAUAACACCACUGAUCCCGCCAUCCUGCACUGAAACCCUGGCAUAACAACAUAAUUCAAACCCGGGUCAAGUCUUUCAUGCUCAUUAAUAGCAAAUGAAUAUAUUCAGGAGUUGCUCUGAGGUUACACAAGUUUAAGGAAAGUCAAGACACAAAAAAACAUCCAACACACAUGUAAGCCUAAAGGUUUUUGAGUCUGUGACUCCUAACAUCUCAAAAUAAACAUUCAGGAUGUGGAUGUUGAAUAGUUAAGAAAGUAUGUAAUUUAUGCAAGUUCUCUUCCAACCAUGCUAUGAUAUAUAGCUAGGUUAACUUAAAACAUUAUCACUGUGUUUCAGACACAAUUUGGCCAGUUUGAACUUGGUUAAUUGCUUUAAUAUACAUAUUGAUUUUAAGCAUGUUAGUAUGUUUUACUGCGUGCAUCAUGUUUGUUUGAUCAGCACUGUUUCUCAUGUGCUCAUCGGCAGGGCAGAGAUGUUUUAGGACUGUAUCCUGGUCGGAUCGCAAGAAAGAUUUGUUUAUGUAUUUUCUGACAGAUUCACACUAGUUUUUGUUGUCAGUAAAGCCCUUCCACCCAAUGCCAGCAAUACACUGCAGUUCACUCUAUGGCCACCAGGGGUUACUUUAGGCCACAUGCAACACACAUUAGGGUUCAUAAAUAAAUCACCAGUGCUUUAGCAAUGCUGCAAGGAUGAUGUAGGCUAAAACCAUAGGCUGUAUAAAACCUAGAAACAACCUAUUUAGCACUUCCGGGUCCAUCAUGGUUUUUUCUAUGUGUUUAUGGUUAAAUGCAUGAAAAAAUGUCUGUGGCAAACACAGAUCGUUUUAUUCUACAACAUUUAAAAUAGCCAGUUGCUAUCAUAUGGCUAAAUGGGACAUCAAAGGCUGUUGAGGACAUUAAAAAUCAGCACAUCGAACUGAUAAACUCAUGCACUAGUCGUUUUCACAGCCUCAGUGUGUUUAUUCACUGUUCUAACAAACUUUCAGAGAAGAUGUUUUUCAAUAAAGACUGAAAGAAGUAUUUAAUCAUGCAAAUGUGGUGUGUUUGUUUAGCUUUUUACUUCUGGAGUUUGUAUUUAGGCUUCAAAAUUCAUAAAAGUUGUUCAUGAACAACAUGUAAGAAUCAUAAACAUUCAUUGGCUUAUUUUCUGCAAUCAUUUUAAAGAAAUGGAAGAAACGUUUUGGGUUUUUGUCGAAGGAACCAGUUGAUUCUAACAUAUCCCUUGCGAAAACCAUGGUUUUACUACAAAUAAAACCAAAAAACCAUGGUUUUGCUACACUAACCACAGUUUAACCAUGGUAUUU
ensembl:lncRNA